UUCUGGUUGAUCCUGCCGGACCUGACUGCUAUCGGAUUGAUACUAAGCCAUGCGAGUCUUUGUAGUAAUACAAGGCAUACGGCUCAGUAACGCGUAGUCAACCUACCCUAUGGACAAGAAUAAUCUCGGGAAACUGAGCAUAAUUCUUGAUAGAUCAUAAUGCCUGGAAUGGUUUAUGGUUAAAAUGAUUCGUCGCCAUAGGAUGGGACUGCGGCCUAUCAGCUUGUUGGUGAGGUAAUGGCCCACCAAGGCGAUUACAGGUACGGGCUCUGAGAGGAGAAGCCCGGAGAUGGGUACUGAGACAAGGACCCAGGCCCUAUGGGGCGCAGCAGGCGAGAAAACUUUGCAAUGUGCGAAAGCACGACAAGGUUAGUCCGAGUGAUUUCUGCUAAAGAGAUCUUUUGCUAGUUAUAAAACCACUAGUGAAUAAGGGGUGGGCAAGUUCUGGUGUCUGCCGCCGCGGUAAAACCAGCACCUCAAGUGGUCAGGAUGAUUAUUGGGCCUAAAGCAUCCGUAGCCGGCUCUGUAAGUUUUCGGUUAAAUCUAUGCGCUCAACGUAUGGGCUGCCGAAAAUACUGUAGAGAUAGGGAGUGGGAGAGGUAGACGGUACUCGGUAGGAAGGGGUAAAAUCCUUUGAUCUAUCGAUGACCACCUGUGGCGAAGGCGGUCUACCAGAACACGUUCGACGGUGAGGGAUGAAAGCUGGGGGAGCAAACCGGAU
rnacentral:rRNA from 1 species